rnacentral:rRNA from 1 species
UUGCUUGCAAACUAAAGAUGGCGACCGGCGCACGGGUGAGUAACACGUAUCCAACCUGCCGAUAACUCGGGGAUAGCCUUUCGAAAGAAAGAUUAAUAUCCGAUGGUAUAUUAAAACCGCAUGGUUUUACUAUUAAAGAAUUUCGGUUAUCGAUGGGGAUGCGUUCCAUUAGUUUGUUGGCGGGGUAACGGCCCACCAAGACUACGAUGGAUAGGGGUUCUGAGAGGAAGGUCCCCCACAUUGGAACUGAGACACGGUCCAAACUCCUACGGGAGGCAGCAGUGAGGAAUAUUGGUCAAUGGACGAGAGUCUGAACCAGCCAAGUAGCGUGAAGGAUGACUGCCCUAUGGGUUGUAAACUUCUUUUAUAUGGGAAUAAAGUAUUCCACGUGUGGAAUUUUGUAUGUACCAUAUGAAUAAGGAUCGGCUAACUCCGUGCCAGCAGCCGCGGUAAUACGGAGGAUCCGAGCGUUAUCCGGAUUUAUUGGGUUUAAAGGGAGCGUAGGUGGAUUGUUAAGUCAGUUGUGAAAGUUUGCGGCUCAACCGUAAAAUUGCAGUUGAAACUGGCAGUCUUGAGUACAGUAGAGGUGGGCGGAAUUCGUGGUGUAGCGGUGAAAUGCUUAGAUAUCACGAAGAACUCCGAUUGCGAAGGCAGCUCACUAGACUGCAACUGACACUG